UACGAAGGGGGCUAGCGUUGCUCGGAAUCACUGGGCGUAAAGCGCACGUAGGCGGACUCUUAAGUCGGUGGUGAAAUCCUGGAGCUCAACUCCAGAACUGCCUUCGAUACUGUCGAUCUGGAGUAUGGAAGAGGUGAGUGGAAUUCCGAGUGUAGAGGUGAAAUUCGUAGAUAUUCGGAGGAACACCAGUGGCGAAGGCGGCUCACUGGUCCAUUACUGACGCUGAGGUGCGAAAGCGUGGGGAGCAAACAGG
rnacentral:rRNA from 1 species